UACGAAGGGGGCUAGCGUUGCUCGGAAUCACUGGGCGUAAAGCGCACGUAGGCGGCUUUCUAAGUCAGGGGUGAAAUCCUGGAGCUCAACUCCAGAACUGCCUUUGAUACUGCGAAUCUUGAGUCCGAUAGAGGUGGGUGGAAUUCCUAGUGUAGAGGUGAAAUUCGUAGAUAUUAGGAAGAACACCGGUGGCGAAGGCGGCCCACUGGAUCGGUACUGACGCUGAGGUGCGAAAGCGUGGGGAGCAAACAGG
rnacentral:rRNA from 1 species